UACGUAGGGUGCAAGCGUUAAUCGGAAUUACUGGGCGUAAAGCGUGCGCAGGCGGUUGUGCAAGACCGAUGUGAAAUCCCCGGGCUUAACCUGGGAAUGGCAUUGGUGACUGCACGGCUAGAGUGUGUCAGAGGGGGGUAGAAUUCCACGUGUAGCAGUGAAAUGCGUAGAUAUGUGGAGGAAUACCGAUGGCGAAGCCAGCCCCCUGGGAUAACACUGACGCUCAUGCACGAAAGCGUGGGGAGCAAACAGG
rnacentral:rRNA from 1 species